rnacentral:rRNA from 1 species
GAUGAACGCUGGCGGCGUGCCUAACACAUGCAAGUCGAGCGAUUCUCUUCGGAGAAGAGCGGCGGACGGGUGAGUAACGCGUGGGUAACCUGCCCUGUACACACGGAUAACAUACCGAAAGGUAUGCUAAUACGAGAUGAUAUAUAAAAGUUGCAUGACUUUUAUAUCAAAGCUUUUGCGGUACAGGAUGGACCCGCGUCUGAUUAGCUAGUUGGUAAGGUAACGGCUUACCAAGGCGACGAUCAGUAGCCGACCUGAGAGGGUGAUCGGCCACACUGGAACUGAGACACGGUCCAGACUCCUACGGGAGGCAGCAGUGGGGAAUAUUGCACAAUGGGCGAAAGCCUGAUGCAGCAACGCCGCGUGAGCGAUGAAGGCCUUCGGGUCGUAAAGCUCUGUCCUCAAGGAAGAUAAUGACGGUACUUGAGGAGGAAGCCCCGGCUAACUACGUGCCAGCAGCCGCGGUAAUACGUAGGGGGCUAGCGUUAUCCGGAAUUACUGGGCGUAAAGGGUGCGUAGGCGGUCUUUCAAGCCAGAAGUGAAAGGCUACGGCUCAACCGUAGUAAGCUUUUGGAACUGUAGGACUUGAGUGCAGGAGAGGAGAGUGGAAUUCCUAGUGUAGCGGUGAAAUGCGUAGAUAUUAGGAGGAACACCAGUAGCGAAGGCGGCUCUCUGGACUGUAACUGACGCUGAGGCACGAAAGCGUGGGGAGCAAACAGGAUUAGAUACCCUGGUAGUCCACGCCGUAAACGAUGAGUACUAGGUGUCGGGGGUUACCCCCCUCGGUGCCGCAGCUAACGCAUUAAGUACUCCGCCUGGGAAGUACGCUCGCAAGAGUGAAACUCAAAGGAAUUGGCGGGGACCCGCACAAGUAGCGGAGCAUGUGGUUUAAUUCGAAGCAACGCGAAGAACCUUACCUAAGCUUGACAUCCCAUUGACCUCUCCCUAAUCGGAGAUUUCCCUUCGGGGACAGUGGUGACAGGUGGUGCAUGGUUGUCGUCAGCUCGUGUCGUGAGAUGUUGGGUUAAGUCCCGCAACGAGCGCAACCCUUGCCUUUAGUUGCCAGCAUUAAGUUGGGCACUCUAGAGGGACUGCCGAGGAUAACUCGGAGGAAGGUGGGGAUGACGUCAAAUCAUCAUGCCCCUUAUGCUUAGGGCUACACACGUGCUACAAUGGGUGGUACAGAGGGUUGCCAAACCGUGAGGUGGAGCUAAUCCCUUAAAGCCAUUCUCAGUUCGGAUUGUAGGCUGAAACUCGCCUACAUGAAGCUGGAGUUACUAGUAAUCGCAGAUCAGAAUGCUGCGGUGAAUGCGUUCCCGGGUCU